GCAAUGGUGGUUCAGUGGUAGAAUUCUUGCCUUCCAUGCGGGAGACCCAAGUUCAAUUCCUGGCCAAUGCA
rnacentral:tRNA from 1 species